rnacentral:rRNA from 1 species
UGUAGUCGGUCCCAAGGGUUGGGCUGUUCGCCCAUUAAAGCGGUACGCGAGCUGGGUUCAGAACGUCGUGAGACAGUUCGGUCCCUAUCCGUCGUGGGCGUAGGAAAUUUGAGAGGAGCUGUCCUUAGUACGAGAGGACCGGGAUGGACAUACCUCUGGUGUACCAGUUGUCGUGCCAACGGCAUAGCUGGGUAGCUAUGUAUGGACGGGAUAAGUGCUGAAAGCAUCUAAGCAUGAAGCCCCCCUCAAGAUGAGAUUUCCCAACUUCGGUUAUAAGAUCCCUCGAAGAUGACGAGGUUAAUAGGUUCGAGGUGGAAGCGUGGUGACACGUGGAGCUGACGAAUACUAAUCGAUCGAAGACUUAAUCAA